rnacentral:rRNA from 1 species
CCGGCACGGGUGAGUAACACGUAUCCAACCUGCCGUCUACUCUUGGACAGCCUUCUGAAAGGAAGAUUAAUACAAGAUGGCAUCAUGAGUCCGCAUGUUCACAUGAUUAAAGGUAUUCCGGUAGACGAUGGGGAUGCGUUCCAUUAGAUAGUAGGCGGGGUAACGGCCCACCUAGUCUUCGAUGGAUAGGGGUUCUGAGAGGAAGGUCCCCCACAUUGGAACUGAGACACGGUCCA